AUGGAUGAGGUCACAAGGGGUAUACAAGGAGAUAUCCCAUGGUGUAUGCUCUUUGCGGAUGAUGUGGUGCUAGUUGACGAUAGUCGGAUGGGGGUAAAUAGGAAGUUAGAGUUAUGGAGACAAACCUUGGAAUCGAAAGGGUUUAGCCUUAGUAGAACUAAAACCGAGUACAUGAUGUGCGGUUUCAGUACUACUAGCUGUGAGGAGGAGGAGGUUAGCCUUGAUGGCCAGGUGGUACCUCGGAAGGACACCUUUCGGUAUUUGGGGUCAAUGUUGCAGGAGGAUGGGGGUAUUGAUGAAGAAGUGAACCAUCGAAUCAAAGCCGGAUGGAUGAAGUGGCGCCAAGCUUCUGGCAUUCUCUGUGACAAGAGAGUGCCACAAAAGCUAAAAGGCAAGUUCUACAGGACGGCGGUGCGACCCGCAAUGUUGUAUGGCGUGGAGUGUUGGCCGACUAAAAGGCGACAUGUUCAACAGUUAGGUGUGGUGGAGAUGCAUAUGUUGAGAUGGAUGUGUGGCCACACGAGGAAGGAUCGAGUCCGGAAUGAUGAUAUACGAGAUAGAGUUUGGGUAGCACCAAUUGAGGAGAAGCUUGUCCAACAUCGUUUGAGAUGGUUUGGGCAUAUUCAGCGCAGGCCUCCAGAAGCUCCAGUGCAUAGCGGACGGCUAAAGCGUGCCGAGAAUGUCAAGAGAGGGCGGGGUCGACCGAUUUUGACAUGGGAGGAGUCCGUUAAGAGAGACCUGAAGGAUUGGAGUAUCGACAAAGAGCUAGCUAUGGACAGGGGUGCGUGGAAGCUUGCUAUCCAUGUGCCAGAGCUAUGA
rnacentral:rRNA from 1 species